rnacentral:lncRNA from 1 species
CGAACCAAAAUUUUUAUAACAAAAUGAAGUGUUUUUUGUACAAAAAAAUGCAUUUUACAAGUUUUUCUGUAGUCGAACUUUACCAUGUCAGACAUUUCAAAAUUAAUCUUUAGAUGAUUGUUCACAUCAUGGUUGAUCGUUAUACGCCAAAGAAUUAGUACUUUGUGCGCAGCUUCCAUUCAAACGGAUAACAGCAUCUGAACGUCUUCUGAUUCCUGCCAUAAGUCGACUCAUUUGUUGCUAAGCUAGCAGCAACCAUUCUUGACGAAAGGUAUUGUUUAUUUCAUGACCUGUUUGAACUGGGGUGUCCUUUCGUGCACUUUACGCCCAAUAGUGUCCCAUAUAUGCUCGAUAUGGUUCAAAUUUGGGCUACGAUAGGGCCAAGGAAGAUAAACCGAAUUCCAUUAGAACAAUGGAUCUUCCUCCACGACGUUAAUUUCCAACUUUGGCGAGCUCUGCACUAUAUUGGAUACGGGCUUCUGUGUGUCUGUUCGUAGGCAAAGGUCCCC